GAUGAACGCUGGCGGCGUGCCUAAUACAUGCAAGUCGAGCGAACAGACGAGGAGCUUGCUCCUCUGACGUUAGCGGCGGACGGGUGAGUAACACGUGGAUAACCUACCUAUAAGACUGGGAUAACUUCGGGAAACCGGAGCUAAUACCGGAUAAUAUAUUGAACCGCAUGGUUCAAUAGUGAAAGACGGUUUUGCUGUCACUUAUAGAUGGAUCCGCGCCGCAUUAGCUAGUUGGUAAGGUAACGGCUUACCAAGGCAACGAUGCGUAGCCGACCUGAGAGGGUGGUCGGCCACACGGGAACGGAGACACGGUCCAGACUCCUACGGGAGGCAGCAGUAGGGAAUCUUCCGCAAUGGGCGAAAGCAUGACGGAGCAACGCCGCGUGAGUGAUGAAGGUCUUCGGAGCGUAAAACUCUGUUAUUAGGGAAGAACAAAUGUGUAAGUAACUAUGCACGUCUUGACGGUACCUAAUCAGAAAGCCACGGCUAACUACGUG
rnacentral:rRNA from 1 species